AGGGUCAUGGCUAGAAGGGAUGUGGAAGUGUAAUCAGAUCUGAACAGAUUGGGCAUUGACAAAAUCCCAAAGUAUCCCUUUAAAUUGAACAAGCCGCAGUAUGGCUGUGAUGGUGACCCCUGACGAGCAUCGACCCCUGACGAGCUGGCUGCCCUGCUGAUGGAGAGGGGCGCCAAACUGGAGCAGGUCAACGAUGAGGGAUACAUUCCACUCAUAGAGGCUGCACGAGGAGAUGGUGGCGCUGCUUUUGGCACAAGGCUGCUCAACGUCUUGAGCUGAAUACCUGCUGGAUGUAGGAGCCAAUGUCCAUGCCACAACGGCCGACAGGAUAUACGGCGCUGACGUACGCCUGUGAGAACGGAUGUGGCUGGGGUGCUGCUGCAGAUGGGGGCUGACCUGAGACAUGAAUGGGAGGGGGACAGAACCCCUCUAAUGAAAGUCAAGAAGGACCAAUGUUUGGCAGGGUCCUUUGCAGAAUCCAAAUUGUCAGCAUUGUGUAUCCUACUUUUGUGUCAAAUAGUUAUGAAGAAAUUGUGGUCAGUUAACAAAUACUAUGUCUUGUUUGAUUUUUUUGGCCCGGCGCUAGCCAAGGCCAAUGUAAAUAUGCAUUUUUGCUAAUAAAGUUUUACAAUUGGUAACAUUUUUAGCUGAAUGCGCAUGCAUUUAGAUGUUAUUGCGUGUUGUAUAUUUUCAGUCACACUGUUGCAUGAAAGGAGAUCCAUGAAGUUAACAUCGACAGCAUCUCUAAGCCUGAGUUCCUGUGGAGUAAACCUAAGGAGGGCUCACCUAGGGAACUCUGCACUCACAAUUCCAUUUAGUUCAGGAACUGAAUGGCCAUUCUUAUGGGGAAAUCAAAUGUCUCAUUCAACUGAAUUGAGAUUAAAUUGAUCUGUAACUCUUGA